UAACUUAUACUAAUAAUUUAGACCCUCUUUUCUUUGGAUUUUUAAAAUUUUUGUUUUUGAGUGAAAUACAUGUUUAUUGUACAAAAAUUUAUAUGAUCCAGUUCUCUGGGGAUAGCACUAAAGGGCACAACGGAAAGGAUAACAGUGCCCCAAGGAGGCAUCACUCACAGAUGAAGCUCUUGGCCUCACUGGCUGAAGAGUGGGAACCUCCCAGCUGGGAAAGGAUAAAAACAGUUUAUCAU
rnacentral:lncRNA from 1 species